AAAUACUAGUGGCCUUUAAUGGGGAAUGCGAUAAUGGAGCCAGCAGACUUGGAUUCCCAGGUAUUUCCUUCAUGUUGGCUUUCCUGGCGUUCGUGUGGUUUUCAUUUUAAACUGAAAACUUGCUUUGGAGGCAAAAAAGCAAACUGUUCACUAAACCUGAGUUCUUUUAACAAACUUUUUUAUUUAUAAUAUAUAUUUUCUGGUCAAUUCAAACGUUUCUUGGUAAUUUUUUAUGGAAGCAAACAAAGAAACCGUGAAUGGAAACCCUAUUUCUCACACACCACUGCUGGUAGCCAUGUCAAGCUGACCGCUGCCGCCUGACCUUGGCUAAAACAAGUAGUAUUACGCUAAAGACUGGAAAUGACAAAAAAGUUCAAGGCUUGUACAUUAUACUGGUAUUGGAUAAAAACUGAAAAUCUUUGGGUGGAUGGGCGGGAAAGUCGGUAAUGGCGGACGCAACGAGAACAACUGCCCACCCCAUAGGUCACAUGACCUAUACCCAGGCCCCAGUGGCGUGUGAGAAAACAUUUUUCACUUAUUUCAUUUAACUCAGCCAGUGAAAAAUUACUCUUAGGUUAUCUUUUCAAAAAUCUCACAGAAUAGUAUUAUACUUGGUAUAUCGUAGACAAUUUCGAAAAGCUGGUGUAUUUUACAAUGCUUCAAAGUUGUUUCGAACGCGACUUGACAUAAAUGUAUAUACACAUAGGAAGUUCUAACACUCAGUGAAGUAACCCUAAGACUAGUAAGUAGCAGUAGUGAGCGAGUAGUUAGUAACGGUAGCAGUAGUGAGAAGAUGUCUUCAGCGAUCUCUAGCAAUGCAGUGAAAUAUGAUUUCUGUAUCAUGUAUCGAUUGGUUAAUGGUUUAAAUUCGGCCUACACGGGUCGCAUCUGUACAAUAUAGAGUAGUUAGCAUUACAAAUGAGCAGUGAAACAUGCUCAGAAGCUAGUUAAUAGUGUUUACCUGGCACAAUAUAUUUGACGUAAUAGUUGUGAGGUUUGUUAGUUAUUCAGUUUUAAUGUAAAUAAACUUGACUAUCGUU